CUUGUCAUCAAAAUGGAUAAAAAGAGAUGUAUCUAAAACUAAAAUACGUCUAGAUACAUUUCCUUUUAUCCAUUUUGAUGACAAGUAUUUCCGGACGGAGGGAGUAUUUG
rfam:Triticum aestivum genome assembly, contig: Triticum_aestivum_CS42_TGACv1_scaffold_165644_2DL